UUCAUUCUAAGGAGAAGACAAAGACAAAGCCGAAGCACACUUUCUCAAAACACUAUACACAUUUGGAGGGCUAACAAGCAAAGACAACAAGAGGGAGUGUCACUAGCAAAAAGAGGAUCAACAAAGGGGGUUUUUCUUAAAUUCCUUACAACUUAAUUUAUGCUAAUUACCUUUUAAUUACGCUUUAGACGGUGAAUGUGUCUUCAAGGGCUCAAAGUGUCCAAGAAGCCUCACCUAGGGCCGAAUAGUAUAGCAUUCUUGUUUAGUAAUUGUUACUUGUUUGUAUUUGCUUUUCUAUUGCUUUAGUAGUGACGUUUUGCAUGGUUAGUUUUGUUUAAAUUUGAACCGACUAGCUUUGUUGAAUAGAUAGCUUACAUUGUUUGCUUGCAUUUAAUUCUCAACUUAUU
rnacentral:lncRNA from 1 species